CCUACGGGGGACAGCAGUGGGGAAUAUUGGGCAAUGGGCGCAAGCCUGACCCAGCAACGCCGCGUGAAGGAAGAAGGCUUUCGGGUUGUAAACUUCUUUUGUCAGGGACGAAGCAAGUGACGGUACCUGACGAAUAAGCCACGGCUAACUACGUGCCAGCAGCCGUGGUAAUACGUAGGUGGCAAGCGUUACCCGGAUUUACUGGGGGUAAAGGGCGUGUCGGCGGGACUGCAAGGCAGCGGUGAAAACCACGGGGUCAACCUGUGGCCUGCAUUUGAAACUGUAGUUCUUGAGUACUGGAGAGGCAGACGGAAUUCCUAGUGUAGCGGUGAAAUGCGUAGAUAUUAGGAGGAACACCAGUGGCGAAGGCGGUCUGCUGGACAGCAACUGACGCUGAGGCGCGAAAGCGUGGGGAGCAAACAGGAUUAGAUACCCGUGUAGUC
rnacentral:rRNA from 1 species